rnacentral:rRNA from 2 species
AGAGUUUGAUCCUGGCUCAGGAUGAACGCUGGCGGCGUGCCUAAUACAUGCAAGUCGAGCGAACGGACGAGAAGCUUGCUUCUCUGAUGUUAGCGGCGGACGGGUGAGUAACACGUGGAUAACCUACCUAUAAGACUGGGAUAACUUCGGGAAACCGUAGCUAAUACCGGAUAAUAUUUUGAACCGCAUGGUUCAAAAGUGAAAGACGGUCUUGCUGUCACUUAUAGAUGGAUCCGCGCUGCAUUAGCUAGUUGGUAAGGUAACGGCUUACCAAGGCAACGAUGCAUAGCCGACCUGAGAGGGUGAUCGGCCACACUGGAACUGAGACACGGUCCAGACUCCUACGGGAGGCAGCAGUAGGGAAUCUUCCGCAAUGGGCGAAAGCCUGACGGAGCAACGCCGCGUGAGUGAUGAAGGUCUUCGGAUCGUAAAACUCUGUUAUUAGGGAAGAACAUAUGUGUAAGUAACUGUGCACAUCUUGACGGUACCUAAUCAGAAAGCCACGGCUAACUACGUGCCAGCAGCCGCGGUAAUACGUAGGUGGCAAGCGUUAUCCGGAAUUAUUGGGCGUAAAGCGCGCGUAGGCGGUUUUUUAAGUCUGAUGUGAAAGCCCACGGCUCAACCGUGGAGGGUCAUUGGAAACUGGAAAACUUGAGUGCAGAAGAGGAAAGUGGAAUUCCAUGUGUAGCGGUGAAAUGCGCAGAGAUAUGGAGGAACACCAGUGGCGAAGGCGACUUUCUGGUCUGUAACUGACGCUGAUGUGCGAAAGCGUGGGGAUCAAACAGGAUUAGAUACCCUGGUAGUCCACGCCGUAAACGAUGAGUGCUAAGUGUUAGGGGGUUUCCGCCCCUUAGUGCUGCAGCUAACGCAUUAAGCACUCCGCCUGGGGAGUACGACCGCAAGGUUGAAACUCAAAGGAAUUGACGGGGACCCGCACAAGCGGUGGAGCAUGUGGUUUAAUUCGAAGCAACGCGAAGAACCUUACCAAAUCUUGACAUCCUUUGACAACUCUAGAGAUAGAGCCUUCCCCU